rnacentral:rRNA from 1 species
AUUGAACGCUGGCGGCAUGCUUUACACAUGCAAGUCGAACGGCAGCACGAAAGAGCUUGCUCUUUUGGUGGCGAGUGGCGAACGGGUGAGUAAUGCAUCGGAACGUACCGAGUAAUGGGGGAUAACUGUCCGAAAGGAUAGCUAAUACCGCAUACGCUUUGAGAAGGAAAGUGGGGGCUCUUCGGACCUCACGUUAUUCGAGCGGCCGAUGUCUGAUUAGCUAGUUGGUGGGGUAAAGGCCUACCAAGGCGACGAUCAGUAGCGGGUCUGAGAGGAUGAUCCGCCACACUGGGACUGAGGCACGGCCCAGACUCCUACGGGAGGCAGCAGUGGGGAAUUUUGGACAAUGGGCGCAAGCCUGAUCCAGCCAUGCCGCGUGUCUGAAGAAGGCCUUCGGGUUGUAAAGGACUUUUGUUAGGGAAGAAAAGGAUAGUGUUAAUACCAUUAUCUGCUGACGGUACCUAAAGAAUAAGCACCGGCUAACUACGUG